rnacentral:rRNA from 1 species
AGCGAACGCUGGCGGCAUGCCUAACACAUGCAAGUCUGACGGGCGGGGGCUUUCGGGCCUUGUCAGUGGCGGACGGGUGAGGAGCGCGUAGGAACGUAUCCAAGGGUGGGGGACAACCGCGGGAAACUGCGGCUAAUACCGCAUGGGGCCUCUAGGGAGACCUGAAAGGGGAGACCUGGGGGCCAAAGGCUGGGGGCAACCUAGUCGCCGGUGGAGCGGCCUGCGUCCGAUUAGCUAGUUGGUGGGGUGANGGCUUACCAAGGCAGCGAUCGGUAGCUGGUCUGAGAGGAUGAUCAGCCACACUGGGACUGAGACACGGCCCAGACUCCUACGGGAGGCAGCAGUGGGGAAUAUUGGACAAUGGGCGAAAGCCUGAUCCAGCGAUGCCGCGUGUGUGAAGAAGGCCUGCGGGUUGUAAAGCACUUUCAGUAGGAAGAAAGCCGAGUGCAAUACCACUCGGUCUUGACGUUACCUAAAGAAGAAGCACCGGCUAACUCCGUGCCAGCA